AAACAAACUUUCUUUUCUUCUCUCUUGAUAUUGAGAUUUUCCACAAUACUUGGAUUUUUAAAUAAAGAGAAGGAUGGCUCUAUUCUAUCCACUUUGUCGUCACUCACAAGCAAGGUUUAAAAUUGCAGUGCAGUCUCCAAUUAAAUUCAAACUUAUUUGUAUUUACUUGGUCAAAAUUUCUUGAAAUUAUAACAUUCUGUGUUACAUGCAUGAAUUGAAUGCUACUAGCUUCCAAUUACGAACCAGUGAGUUCUACUAAGUUAAAGACAGAAAAGUGUACACACUCCAGCUUCAAACAGAAAAGAGAAUUAAAUGCAACAUGUCAGGGCUUUUUGUGUGGACCCAUACAUACUCUUCUUCUUCGUAUCAAAAAAAGCUUAGCCCUUUCAUUUGUGACACGUACAGGCAAUGCUCCUCUUUCUUUCAAUGCCCUUCCAUAUAGGAUGGGGCAUGGCUUGUAAGCUCAGUGCUUCCUGACUGUCCCAGCAAUGCAUCAUGCAUGC
rnacentral:lncRNA from 1 species